AUCUUCUUGUAGUUCAUAAGCGUUGAUGAUUGGACGUUGAUGAUUGGACGUUGAUGAUUGGACGUUGAUGAUUGUGUGAGAUGUGCCUCCUACAACUUCAUGUUGGCAUAUUACUUGUCUGAUG
rnacentral:snoRNA from 1 species